rnacentral:rRNA from 1 species
UACAGAGGGUGCAAGCGUUGUUCGGAAUUAUUGGGCGUAAAGGGCUCGUAGGCGGCCAACUAAGUCAGACGUGAAAUCCCUCGGCUUAACCGGGGAACUGCAUCUGAUACUGGAUGGCUUGAGUUCGGGAGAGGGAUGCGGAAUUCCAGGUGUAGCGGUGAAAUGCGUAGAUAUCUGGAGGAACACCGGUGGCGAAGGCGGCAUCCUGGACCGACACUGACGCUGAGGAGCGAAAGCCAGGGGAGCAAACGGG